GCCUGUGUGGUGUAAUGGUUUGAGUGUUGAACUAGGGUUCUGGAGACCAGGGUUCAGAUCCCAGCUUGGACA